rnacentral:rRNA from 1 species
CACGAACCGUACGAACGUUAUUCGGAAUUACUGGGCUUAAAGGGUUUGUAGGCGGCCUUGUAAGUCAGGUGUGAAAUCCCUCGGCUCAACCGAGGAAUAGCGCUUGAUACUGCAAGGCUUGAGGGAGACAGGGGUAAGCGGAACUGAUGGUGGAGCGGUGAAAAUGCGUUGAUAUCAUCAGGAACACCGGUGGCGAAAGCGGCUUACUGGGUCUCUUCUGACGCUGAGGAACGAAAGCUAGGGGAGCGAACGGG